rnacentral:rRNA from 1 species
AGAACGAACGCUGGCGGCAGGCUUAACACAUGCAAGUCGAGCGCCCCGCAAGGGGGAGCGGCAGACGGGUGAGUAACGCGUGGGAAUCUACCCAUCUCUACGGAACAACUCCGGGAAACUGGAGCUAAUACCGUAUACGUCCUUCGGGAGAAAGAUUUAUCGGAGAUGGAUGAGCCCGCGUUGGAUUAGCUAGUUGGUGGGGUAAUGGCCUACCAAGGCGACGAUUCAUAGCUGGUCUGAGAGGAUGAUCAGCCACACUGGGACUGAGACACGGCCCAGACUCCUGCGGGAGGCAGCGAGUGGGGAAUAUUGGACAAUGGGCGAAAGCCUGAUCCAGCCAUGCCGCGUGGAGUGAGUGGAACGGCCCGUAGGUUAGUAAGCUUCUUACGAACGGUGAAGAUAAUGGAACGGUAACCGUAGAAGGAACG